AAGAUUUAUCGCCGAAAGAUCGGCCCGCGUCUGAUUAGCUAGUUGGUGAGGUAACGGCUCACCAAGGCGACGAUCAGUAGCUGGUCUGAGAGGAUGAUCAGCCACAUUGGGACUGAGACACGGCCCAAACUCCUACGGGAGGCAGCAGUGGGGAAUAUUGGACAAUGGGCGCAAGCCUGAUCCAGCCAUGCCGCGUGAGUGAUGAAGGCCCUAGGGUUGUAAAGCUCUUUUGUGCGGGAAGAUAAUGACGGUACCGCAAGAAUAAGCCCCGGCUAACUUCGUGCCAGCAGCCGCGGUAAUACGAAGGGGGCUAGCGUUGCUCGGAAUCACUGGGCGUAAAGGGUGCGUAGGCGGGUCUUUAAGUCAGAGGUGAAAGCCUGGAGCUCAACUCCAGAACUGCCUUUGAUACUGAGGAUCUUGAGUUCGGGAGAAGUGAGUGGAACUGCGAGUGUAGAGGUGAAAUUCGUAGAUAUUCGCAAGAACACCAGUGGCGAAGGCGGCUCACUGGCCCGAUACUGACGCUGAGGCACGAAAGCGUGGGGAGCAA
rnacentral:rRNA from 1 species